rnacentral:rRNA from 1 species
CCUACGGGGGGCAGCAGUGAGGAAUAUUGGUCAAUGGACGAGAGUCUGAACCAGCCAAGUAGCGUGAAGGAUGACUGCCCUAUGGGUUGUAAACUUCUUUUAUAUGGGAAUAAAACGUUCCACGUGUGGGAUUUUGCAUGUACCAUAUGAAUAAGGAUCGGCUAACUCCGUGCCAGCAGCCGCGGUAAUACGGAGGAUCCGAGCGUUAUCCGGAUUUAUUGGGUUUAAAGGGAGCGUAGGCGGGUUGUUAAGUCAGUUGUGAAAGUUUGCGGCUCAACCGUAAAAUUGCAGUUGAAACUGGCAGCCUUGAGUACAGUAGAGGUAGGCGGAAUUCGUGGUGUAGCGGUGAAAUGCUUAGAUAUCACGAAGAACUCCGAUUGCGAAGGCAGUCUACUGGACUGCAACUGACGCUGAGGCUCGAAAGUGUGGGUAUCAAACAGGAUUAGAUACCCUAGUAGUC